UACGUAGGGACCGAGCGUUGUCCGGAAUCAUUGGGCGUAAAGCGCGCGUAGGCGGCCCGGUCAGUCCGUCGUGAAAGUCAAAGGCUCAACCUUUGAAUGUCGAUGGAUACUGCCGGGCUAGAGUCCGGAAGAGGCGAGUGGAAUUCCUGGUGUAGCGGUGGAAUGCGCAGAUAUCAGGAGGAACACCAAUAGCGAAGGCAGCUCGCUGGGACGGUACUGACGCUAAGGCGCGAAAGCGUGGGGAGCGAACAGG
rnacentral:rRNA from 1 species